UAGGGAAUCUUCCACAAUGGACGCAAGUCUGAUGGAGCAACGCCGCGUGAGUGAAGAAGGUCUUCGGAUCGUAAAGCUCUGUUGUUGGUGAAGAAGGAUAGAGGCAGUAACUGGUCUUUAUUUGACGGUAAUCAACCAGAAAGUCACGGCUAACUACGUGCCAGCAGCCGCGGUAAUACGUAGGUGGCAAGCGUUGUCCGGAUUUAUUGGGCGUAAAGCGAGCGCAGGCGGAAUGAUAAGUCUGAUGUGAAAGCCCACGGCCCAACCGUGGAACUGCAUCGGAAACUGUCAUUCUUGAGUGCAGAAGAGGAGAGUGGAACUCCAUGUGUAGCGGUGGAAUGCGUAGAUAUAUGGAAGAACACCAGUGGCGAAGGCGGCUCUCUGGUCUGCAACUGACGCUGAGGCUCGAAAGCAUGGGUAGCGAACAGGAUUAGAUACCCUGGUAGUCCAUGCCGUAAACGAUGAGCGCUAGGUGUUGGGGACUUUCCGGUUCUCAGUGCCGCAGCAAACGCAUUAAGCGCUCCGCCUGGGGAGUACGACCGCAAGGUUGAAAC
rnacentral:rRNA from 1 species